GGUGCCUGGGCUUGGCUGAGCUGUCCCUGGGUUUCAGAGGAAGAAGCCCCAGCUCUCGCCAGGAGUGCAACUACCUCAUGCAGCACUGCAGCAGAUUCCCCGUUCAGCCAGUGCAAUGUUCCUUCUCGGCCAGGGAUGAUUCCCAAAUGUUUUGACAAAGAAAGCUCUUCUGUAAUGCAGCUGAAACCUGCAGGGCCUGAAAACACUGAAAAUACGUAAAUCUGCGGACACACUGUGGAAAAUGAGGAGCCCAAGUGGUCUGUGCACAAACUAAGAAAGAGGAUUUGUGAUUCCUCUGCAACCCAGGAAGGUUUGAAGGGCCAGAACCAACUGCAAGAAGACCGACUCUUUAAAGACAUGCCAAAAGCAACACCCCUUGUUGGAUCCCACUCCACCUCUGCAUGGUGGCUGGUUUUACUGCUCGUGAGCAGCAGCAACGAAGACAAGCAGCUGAUACAGAAGCAGUGCUGCACACUACGCUGCAGUCAGACGCGCAUGCCGGGCACGCUGCUGCUUCAGCUGCAAUUGCGCAGAGGCAGACAAAGCUUUGGAGACCUCAUCCAGCUGGGACACGGUGCAUAAUUUAACGCUCUGGUUUUGCGCUCCCACCGCUGGACCCUCGCUGCACACUUACCUCCCAUUUGCUCCAGUCGGAACGAGAGAGUUUCUUGCUCCUCGGAGGCAGGUUUGUCUCGCAGUUGUUUAGCAGGAUAAGGGCUGUGCUAUCGUUUUACAGACAACCCCACCCCCCACAGAAGAACAAGGAUGCCUCCUUGACAGUGAUGACUCAGCCUAAAAAUGUUACUGAAGAGGAAACCCUUCAUCCUUUUGUAUUUUAGCUACCAUACUGGAUGGAGCUCAAGCAUGGGUAACGAGGAAGCCAACAGUCUUGCUACAGGGAGGAUCAAGGCACCUGCAGCAACAAAAAGGGACUGGGGAAGAAAAGUUUCUGCAUAAGAAAUGUUUUCUGCAUAAGGCAAUGGGAGGGAUGAAGAUAGAGAAGAAUGAAUUCUGUCCAUACUCCAAGCUGAUGGGACACUGGGAGACCAUGUUAAACGUAGCAUUGAGCUUCACCUAACAAGCCCCGCUGGAAGGCUACAUAAAAGGUGAGUGUGGCAGGCCUGCAUCCGCUCACAGAAAACAUCCUCUAUACACGGCCGAAGGUGAGAUUCUUGUGAGCAGAAGGCCAGCUGGUGAAGCUCAACCACCCAGCUGCUUGCUCUGAGAACGCAACCAGGUGAUUCAACUUCUCUAACUUUCAAUUCUCUGUCUCUAAAGUGGAGACAAUUCCUACCUAAGAACUUAUGCUGUAAGGCUGCCUUCCGCCUAAUGCAGAUCUGUUUAAAGCCUGCUAACACAGGGCUCACCGCUUGGUCAGAGUUAGUAGGUGUUGCAGCUGGACAAGAGCAGCACUCAGCCCAGGGCAGCUUACUGACAGGCACACACAGUUGUCACACUCC